UUCUGAAGAUACUGUGCCUCUUAUGAA
rnacentral:sRNA from 1 species